AGCCGCUGCCAGCGCGCGCGGCGCGCCUCGGCCUGUUCGCGAUAGGCCUGGCGCAGCUCGUCGGCGUGGGUGUCCAGUUCGAGGUCGGCGGCGCCUUC
rnacentral:tRNA from 4 species